rnacentral:ncRNA from 1 species
GGCACUGUGAGGUGAAACUCGAAGGAAGCAAAUAGCAAAAUUUGGUUGUGACGAACAGAAAUCUGGUAGUAGGCAUAAUCAAUUUGCGUAACCUAGCAACAGAUAAAUUGUCCAAAGCCUCGAACAUAUGAAGUAGGGAAGGCAUGAACCAAGUUUAAGGGAACAGU